rnacentral:rRNA from 1 species
AGAAUGAACGCUGGCGGCGUGCUUUACACAUGCAAGUCGAGCGAGGCGUGGAGCAAUCCACAGUCGAGCGGCGAACGGGUGAGUAACGCGUGGAUGACCUGCCCUUGAAUGGGGAAUAACCCGGGGAAACUCGGGCUAAUACCGCAUACGACCGAGAGGUGAAAGGGGCCGCAAGGCUCUCGUUCGAGGAGGGGUCCGCGUUCGAUUAGCUAGUUGGUAGGGUAAUGGCCUACCAAGGCGACGAUCGAUAGCCGGCCUGAGAGGGUGAGUCGACCGACACUGGAACUGAGACACGGUCC